GAAAAUAUAAGAAAAAGAAAUACACAACUUAAAAACAAUGGAAAAAGUAUAUUAAGAUUUAAACAUCUAUCUUAAAAUGUAAAAUAUAGAUAUUAUGCAAAUAGAAAGUAUAAGAAAAGGAAAUACACAAUUUCAAAAAAAUGGAAAAAGCACAUUAGUAUUUAAACAUCUAUCUUAAAAUGUAAAUCAAUUUUAAAAUAUAAAAUUAUUAGUAAAUAGAAAGUAUAAGAAAUAGAAAUACACAAUAUAAAGAAAAAUAAAUAAGAAGUAAAUAUAUAAUAUAAUCUCGAAAGAUGACACAUGGCAUAAAAUAUAGUUUUACAAUUUAACAUUACUUAUUUUCAAAAAUUAUAAAAAAUAUGUAAACAUACAGCAUAAAAAAUAGAAAAACUACAUUAAACAUAUGUAAGAUUACUAAAUUUCACUUAAAAAAAAAGACGGCUUAUCUCCAUAAUGUAACAUUACCGUUUUAUAAAAAAAACAAAAAACAUUAUAUAUAAUUUCGAAAAUAAUAAAUAUAUGUAAAACAUACAACAUAAAAAUGGAAAUACUACAUUAAACAUAUGUAAGAUUACCAUUUUACAUUUUUAUUUUAAGAAAAUAAUAUGUAAACAUACAACAUAAAAAAUGGAAAAACUACAUUAAACAUAUGUAAGAUUACCAUUUUUCAAUAAAAAAAAAAACACGGCUUAUCUCCAUAAUGUAACAUUACUAUUUUGUAAAAAAACAAUUAUAUAUAAUUUCGAAAAUAAUAAAUAUUAUGUAAACAUA
rnacentral:lncRNA from 1 species